GUGCUGGCCCGAGCCCGGCCCGGGCCCACAGUCAAAAGUCUGAGCCCAUCCCAGGCCUGGGCUUUCGGCUCAGCAAAGUCUGCGGAUCUGGUUAUGCUUCCUGUACGAGACAGAUCACGAAGCGGUUGCUGACUGACCAGUUGGGGCGAAAAUUUUUGUGGGAAGGACGUAAGAGAAAGUUGACAUUCAGGAACCUUCACCUUGCUGAGUGCAUCAUAAAUGCAGUGCAGAGCUGCCAUAAAUGUGAAGACUUCAAGGUAGAAAGCAUGGUCACGGAUUAACUUCGCCACGCACCUGCCUGACAUCAGUCAUCUCAAAUGGUAAGCUGGUCUUAUUAAGCUGAUGUUAGCACAAAAAUCAAACUUUUCUAGAACAGUAAGUA
rnacentral:lncRNA from 1 species